rnacentral:rRNA from 1 species
UUAAAUGAAUUGACGGGGAGCACCACAACGGGUGGAGCCUGCGGUUUAAUUGGAUUCAACGCCGGACAACUCACCGGAUACGACAGCGGAAUGAUAGUCGGGCUGAAGACUCUACUUGACUAGCUGAGAGGAGGUGCAUGGCCGUCGUCAGUUCGUACUGUGAAGCAUCCUGUUAAGUCAGGCAACGAGCGAGACCCACGCCCACAGUUGCCAGCGUACUCUCCGGAGUGACGGGUACACUGUGGGGACCGCCGCUGCUAAAGCGGAGGAAGGAAUGGGCAACGGUAGGUCAGUAUGCCCCGAAUAUCCCGGGCUACACGCGAGCUACAAUGGUUGGUACAAUGGGUAUCUACCCCGAAAGGGGACGGGAAUCUCCUAAAACCAAUCUUAGUUCGGAUUGAGGGCUGCAACUCGCCCUCAUGAAGCUGGAAUCCGUAGUAAUCGCGUUUCAACAGAACGCGGUGAAUACGUCCCUGCUCCUU